ensembl:misc_RNA 7SK 7SK RNA
GGGUGUAGGGCUGAAUUGACUUUGUGGUCUCUGACUCUUGGUUACCACGGUAAUUCAGUUUACCUGUCUGGGUAGGUUCAUGCCCCUUCUUCAUGGCUCCAUAUUCAACUCUCCAAAAAUGGAAGAGGAUGGCCUUCCCCAAGAGAAGGUCUUGGUCAAGGCUAUCUGAGUAAUUCUCCUGCUUGAACCUCCAGACAAGUUCCCAGGGUCCAUUGUAGAAUGUAGGGUAGUCAGGCAUUGAAAACUACACCCAUCAAAGAGAGGUGCUU